GCCUGGGUGGCCCAGUCAGUUAGGCGUCUGACUUCGGCCCAGGUCAUGAUCCCGUACUUCGUGGGUUCAAGCCCUACAUCAGGCU
rnacentral:tRNA from 1 species